AUGGCUUAUGGUCAAAACAGUUUACUGCCAUGGGAUGGGACUGCGGCCUAUCAGCUUGUUGGUGAGGUAAUGGCCCACCAAGGCGAUUACAGGUACGGGCUCUGAGAGGAGAAGCCCGGAGAUGGGUACUGAGACACGGACCCAGGCCCUAUGGGGCGCAGCAGGCGAGAAACCUUAGCAAUGUGCGAAAGCACGACUGGGUCAGUCCGAGUGAUUCCUGAUAAAGGAGUCUUUUGCUUGUCCUAAAAGCACAGGUGAAUAAGGGGUGGGCAAGUCUGGUGUCAGCCGCCGCGGUAAUACCAGCACCUCGAGUGGUCAGGACGUUUAUUGGGCCUAAAGCAUCCGUAGCCGGCUUUGCAAGUCUUCGGUUAAAUCCACCUGCUCAACAGAUGGGCCGCUGGAGAUACUACAGAGCUAGGGAGUGGGAGAGGCAGACGGUAUUCAGUGGGUAGGGGUAAAAUCCUCUGAUCCAUUGAGGACCACCAGUGGCGAAGGCGGUCUGCCAGUACACGUUCGACGGUGAGGGAUGAAAGCUGGGGGAGCAAACCGGAUUAGAUACCCGGGUAGUCCCAGCUGUAAACGAUGCAAACUCGGUGAUGCAUUGGCUUAUGGCCAAUGCAGUGCCGCAGGGAAGCCGUUA
rnacentral:rRNA from 1 species